ensembl:snRNA U6 U6 spliceosomal RNA
GUAUUUACUUCAGCAACACCUAUACUAAAAUUGGGAUGAUGCAAAGAUUAUCAGGCCCCUGGGCAAGGACGUAUGCAUAUUCAUGAUGCAUUUCAUAUUUUU